UACGUAGGGGGCGAGCGUUGUCCGGAAUUAUUGGGCGUAAAGAGCUCGUAGGCGGCUUGGCAAGUCGGAUGUGAAAACUCCAGGCUCAACCUGGAGCCGCCAUUCGAUACUGCUAUGGCUAGAGUCCGGUAGGGGAGUGUGGAAUUCCCGGUGUAGCGGUGAAAUGCGCAGAUAUCGGGAGGAACACCGAUGGCGAAGGCAGCACUCUGGGCCGGCACUGACGCUGAGGAGCGAAAGCGUGGGGAUCAAACAGGG
rnacentral:rRNA from 1 species